UGAGGAAUAUUGGGCAAUGCCCGCAAGGGUGACCCAGCAACGCCGCGUGGAGGAUGAAUGUCGUAAGAUUGUAAACUCCUGUUAGAGGGGAAGAAUAGUACCGGUUGGACCGGUAUAUGACUGUACCCUCAGAGAAAGCCCCGGCUAACUACGUGCCAGCAGCCGCGGUAAUACGUAGGGGGCAAGCGUUGUCCGGAAUUACUGGGCGUAAAGCGUGCGCAGGCGGUUUUGUAAGACAGAGGUGAAAUCCCCGGGCUCAACCUGGGAACUGCCUUUGUGACUGCAAGGCUGGAGUGCGGCAGAGGGGGAUGGAAUUCCGCGUGUAGCAGUGAAAUGCGUAGAUAUGCGGAGGAACACCGAUGGCGAAGGCAAUCCCCUGGGCCUGCACUGACGCUCAUGCACGAAAGCGUGGGGAGCAAACA
rnacentral:rRNA from 1 species